UGUAAUACGACUCACUAUAGGGGAAUUGGGCCGACGUCGCAUGUUCCGGGCCGCCAUGGCGGCCCGCGGGAAUUCGAUUAGAGUUUGAUCAUGGCUCAGGACGAACGCUGGCGGCGUGCUUAACACAUGCAAGUCGAACGAUGAAGCUGGAGCUUGCUCCGGUGGAUUAGUGGCGAACGGGUGAGUAACACGUGAGCAAUCUGCCCUUGACUCUGGGAUAACUGCGGGAAACUGUAGCUAAUACCGGAUACUUUCCUCGGUGGGCAUCCACUGGGGAAGAAAGAAUUUCGGUCAAGGAUGAGCUCGCGACCUAUCAGCUAGUUGGUGAGGUAAUGGCUCACCAAGGCGACGACGGGUAGCCGGCCUGAGAGGGUGACCGGCCACACUGGGACUGAGACACGGCCCAGACUCCUACAGGAGGCAGCAGUGGGGAAUAUUGCACAAUGGGCGCAAGCCUGAUGCAGCAACGCCGCGUGAGGGACGAAGGCCUUCGGGUUGUAAACCUCUUUUAGCAGGGAAGAAGCGAAAGUGACGGUACCUGCAGAAAAAGCACCGGCUAACUACGUGCCAGCAGCCGCGGUAAUACGUAGGGUGCAAGCGUUGUCCGGAAUUAUUGGGCGUAAAGAGCUCGUAGGCGGUUUGUCACGUCUGCUGUGAAAUUUCGAGGCUCAACCUCGAACUUGCAGUGGGUACGGGCAGGCUAGAGUGCGGUAGGGGAGAUGGGAAUUCCUGGUGUAGCGGUGGAAUGCGCAGAUAUCAGGAGGAACACCAAUGGCGAAGGCACAUCUCUGGGCCGUAACUGACGCUGAGGAGCGAAAGCAUGGGGAGCAAACAGGAUUAGAUACCCUGGUAGUCCAUGCCGUAAACGGUGGGUGCUAGCUGUGGGCCACAUUCCACGUGGUCCGUGACGAAGUUAACACAUUAAGCACC
rnacentral:rRNA from 1 species